rnacentral:rRNA from 1 species
GACGGGUGAGUAAUGCCUAGGAAUCUGCCUGGUAGUGGGGGAUAACGUCCGGAAACGGGCGCUAAUACCGCAUACGUCCUGAGGGAGAAAGUGGGGGAUCUUCGGACCUCACGCUAUCAGAUGAGCCUAGGUCGGAUUAGCUAGUUGGUGGGGUAAAGGCCUACCAAGGCGACGAUCCGUAACUGGUCUGAGAGGAUGAUCAGUCACACUGGAACUGAGACACGGUCCAGACUCCUACGGGAGGCAGCAGUGGGGAAUAUUGGACAAUGGGCGAAAGCCUGAUCCAGCCAUGCCGCGUGUGUGAAGAAGGUCUUCGGAUUGUAAAGCACUUUAAGUUGGGAGGAAGGGCAGUAAGUUAAUACCUUGCUGUUUUGACGUUACCAACAGAAUAACGCACCGGCUAACUUCGUGCCAGCAGCCGCGGUAAUACGAAGGGUGCAAGCGUUAAUCGGAAUUACUGGGCGUAAAGCGCGCGUAGGUGGUUCAGCAAGUUGGAUGUGAAAUCCCCGGGCUCAACCUGGGAACUGCAUCCAAAACUACUGAGCUAGAGUACGGUAGAGGGUGGUGGAAUUUCCUGUGUAGCGCUGAAAUGCGUAGAUAUACGAAGGAACACCAGUGGCGAAGGCGACCACCUGGACUGAUACUGACACUGAGGUGCGAAAGCGUGCGGAGCAAACAGGAUUAUAUACCCUGGCAGUCCACGCCGUAAACGAUGUCGACUAGCCGGUGGGAUCCCUGAGAUCGCAGUGGAGUAUCUAACCCCAUAUUCGACCGCCUGGGGAGGCGGUCGCCAGUAAUACUCAAUAAAUUGA